rnacentral:tRNA from 1 species
GCAAUGAUGGUUCAGUGGUAGAAUUCUUGCCCUCCAUGCAGAAGACCUGGGUUCAAUUCCUGGACAAUGCA